CGGCGAACGGGUGAGUAACACGUGAGAAACCUACCCCUUCAUUCCGGAUAAUUGGAAGAAAUUCCUUGUAAUACGGGGGAGGAUGCAACCGUGGCAUCACGGAUGUAUCGAACAAGCAAUUGGUGCAGGGACGGUCUCGCGGCUUAUCAGGUAGUUGGUGGGGUAACGGCCUACCAAGCCUACGACGAGUAGCUGGUCUGAGAGGAUGGUCAGCCACAUUGGAACUGAGACACUGUCCAGACUCCUACGGGAGGCUGCAGUCGAGAAUCUUGGGCAAUGCACGAAAGUGUGACCCAGCGACGCCGCGUGAAGGAUGAAGGCCCUCUGGGUCGUAAACUUCUUUUAUGGGAGAAGAAACAAUGACGGUAUCCCGUGAAUAAGCCACGGCUAACUACGUGCCAGCAGCCGCGGUAAUACGUAGGUGGCAAGCGUUGUCCGGAUUUACUGGGCGUAAAGCGAGCGCAGGCGGAUGGCUAAGUAGGAAGUGAAAGGUUGGAGCUCAACUCCAACAUUGCUUCCUAUAC
rnacentral:rRNA from 1 species